rnacentral:sRNA from 1 species
CGACUAAGGUUCGAUUCGAGCGCAGCGAGAAAGCGUUGCCGCAGGCAACGACCCGAAGGGUGAGGAGCGGAGCGACGAAUAAUCCUUCCCCCACCAUCA